rnacentral:ncRNA from 2 species
AAGUUAAUAGGCGAUGAUGUUCGCCAUAAAAUAAUUGUUCAAACAAUUUGAUGACGUCUACUGUAAU